rnacentral:lncRNA from 1 species
CAAGUAUAGAAGGCCAUAACCUUUUCCCUGCUGCAUCUUUUUGGGUGGGGAUUUAUUGGUAACCUUAGAAGUUGCCUCUAUGGAGAUUGAAAGGCGACAACAUCUCAGCUGAAACAGUAAUACUGGGACGAUCGGUACACCAUGUGCUUGUAUAAAGCUGGCCUCGAACAUUUUAACUCGUUUCUUUUUAAGUGAACAAUUUGAUCAUUGUUCCUCUUGCAUUGUGGAUAUUUUUUAAGUGGAAAAAGUUUAUAUAAGUUGUCAACCUUAUAUUUCUUCAUGCAUCAGUAGAUAGUAG